AUUGAACGCUGGCGGCAGGCCUAACACAUGCAAGUCGAACGAGUGGCGGACGGGUGAGUAAUGUCUGGGAAACUACCUGAUGGAGGGGGAUAACUACUGGAAACGGUAGCUAAUACCGCAUACCAUCGGAUGAGCCCAGAUGGGAUUAGCUAGUUGGUGGGGUAAAGGCUCACCUAGGCGACGCUCCCUAGCUGGUCUGAGAGGAUGACCAGCCACACUGGAACUGAUACACGGUCCAGACUCCUACGGGAGGCAGCAGUGGGGAAUAUUGCACAAUGGGCGCAAGCCUGAUGCAGCCAUGCCGCGUGGAUGAAGAAGGCCUUCGGGUUGUAAAGUACUUUCAGCAGGGAGGCGUUACCUACAGAAGAAGCACCGGCUAACGCCGUGCCAGCAGCCGCGGUAAUAC
rnacentral:rRNA from 1 species